UGGAUGAAUAGUCAGGAAAAGUAGUUAUCAUCUAUAGUAUAGGAGUUGAUAUCUUGGGGUAGUAUAAGGAAGAUGGGAGAGGGGAAGAAAAUGCCAGACUAUGAGAGUUGUGAGCCGGGGUAAGUUUGGUGCUACCUCUUUUCUUUUAUUUGUUAUUUUCUUUGAAUAAGAGGAUUGAAAGUUUUUGAAUAUUGUGAAGUGAAUUAUGGAAUGGAAAUGUGAUUGGUAUUAUUUGAGAAGAAGAAAGAUUGAAUGCUGAAAUCUCAUUGUAGUUCAGCAAAGAGAAUGAGUCUGUAUUUGUGUGAAACACUGUAAUGUGAAUGGCAAUUCUGUGUGAAGAAUUCCAGAGAUUGGAACAAGGAUAAUUGUGUGCUGAAAGCUAUGAGGGCAGAGUAUUACAGUUGGAGAUUAUGAGGGUGAAUAUAUUGGUAGAAAUAGCAGUUAUUGGUAUGAUUGAAUUGGUGUAAGGAAGAGACCGAUAAAGUGAAGGAGGAGAUUAUAGUUUCCUUGUGUGUUUAGAUAUUGGAAAUAGAGAUGAUACAUUUAGGAGGUAAUUGAUUGUGUGACCCUAAUGUGAACGCUUAAACAACUAGUCAUUUCCCAUGUUCAAAUCUCCCUAUACGGGUUUAUGCUGGGAGGUUUCUUUCGGAAUAAGUAAAACGAGCAAUCA
rnacentral:lncRNA from 1 species